UACAGAGGUCUCAAGCGUUGUUCGGAUUCAUUGGGCGUAAAGGGUGUGUAGGUGGCGCCGUAAGUCGGGUGUGAAAUUUCGAGGCUUAACUUCGAAACUGCAUUCGAUACUGCCGUGCUUGAGGACUGGAGAGGAGACUGGAAUUUACGGUGUAGCGGUGAAAUGCGUAGAUAUCGUAAGGAAGACCAGUGGCGAAGGCGGGUCUCUGGACAGUUCCUGACGCUGAGGCACGAAGGUCAGGGGAGCAAACGGG
rnacentral:rRNA from 1 species